GGGGAUGUCUCUCAGUGGUAGAGAGCUUGCCUGGCACCUGCAAGGCCUUGGGUUCAAUUAAUCCCGUCCCCA
rnacentral:tRNA from 1 species